ensembl:lncRNA
GUGCGUAGGCACCUAUUGUAUCCGUUGGCGUUAUUCUUCUUCUUCUUCUUCUUCUUCUUCUUCUUCUUCUUCUUCUUCCGCCGCAAGUCUAUGGCAGCCCAUAGAACCGAUUGCGGGAAAUUGUAUAAUUUGGCACACUGAUAGAGGACAAUCCCAGCAUUAACUAUAGCAAAUUUGAAGUCUCUAACUCUAACUCUCUAGCGCCACCACUUGUCCAAAAUUUCAAUAUUUUUAUGCUAAUAACUAUUGAACCGUAAGCCACAAAAUGAAAAUUCUUUUUUCCUCUGAAUCGUUGGCUGAGGCCAAGUCGAAUGAACCCUGAAAUUCAAAAAUCGCAAGGUUUAGUUUUUUCGCUAUUUUCAAUUGUUCGAAAAACCUACUUUUUCGAACUCGUCCUAGACGGUUAGUCCGAUUUUCACGAAAAUUGGCUCAGAUCAUCUUCAGACGAUGCCGGCAAAAAGUUAUGGAAUUCAAGUUGAUUCGUCCAACCGUUCUCGAAUACCACGCGAAAAAAUUCUACGAAAAGCAUGCAAAAAUGCUUGUGAGGCUAUAACUCCGCAACGGUUUGGCGUAUUGAGACCAAACUUGGUGUGUGUUAUAACAAGCAUGACCUGAGACUUCCUGCAGUGUUUCUAUGCAGCGCCACCUAGUGGUCAGGAGAUAUGAAAAAUGCAUAUUUUUGCUUAUAACUUCUGAAUGGUUUGGCCAAAAAUCACAAAACUGGUCUCAUUAGAUUCGGUGGGUCAUGUCAAGUCGAAUGAUAUCCAAUUUUCCCGUGUCGGCCAUUUUGAAUUAUGUUUCAAAAUGCUGUAUUUUUUGAACGCAUUAUCGUAUCGCUACGAAAAUAAUUACAAAAAUGUUUGGCUCCAUGCCCUGAAGCUACUCAAAAAGUUUGGUGGCAGCGCCACCUUGUGGUCAAAAGUUAUAAUGAAAUAUCUUAAACAUGCUAAUAACUUUUGAAAAAAUUAGACUAUUGCAAUGAAAGUCAU